AAUGAACGCUGGCGGCAGGCUUAACACAUGCAAGUCGAGCGGGGUGAUGGUGCUUGCACUAUCACUUAGCGGCGGACGGGUGAGGAAUGCUUAGGAAUCUGCCUAUUAGUGGGGGACAACAUCUCGAAAGGGAUGCUAAUACCGCAUACGUCCUACGGGAGAAAGCAGGGGAUCUUUAUGACCUUGCGCUAAUAGAUGAGCCUAAGUCGGAUUAGCUAGUUGGUGGGGUAAAGGCCUACCAAGGCGACGAUCUGUAGCGGGUCUGAGAGGAUGAUCCGCCACACUGGGACUGAGACACGGCCCAGACUCCUACGGGAGGCAGCAGUGGGGAAUAUUGGACAAUGGGGGGAACCCUGAUCCAGCCAUGCCGCGUGUGUGAAGAAGGCCUUAUGGCUGUAAAGCACUUUAAGCGAGGAGGAGGCUCUUUUGGUUAAUACCCAGAAUGAGUGGACGUUACUCGCAGAAUAAGCACCGGCUAACUCUGUGCCAGCAGCCGCCGUAAGAC
rnacentral:rRNA from 1 species